rnacentral:rRNA from 1 species
GACGAACGCUGGCGGCGUGCUUGACACAUGCAAGUCGAACGAUGAAGCCGGAGCUUGCUCUGGUGAAUUAGUGGCGAACGGGUGAGUAACACGUAAGUAACCUGCCCUUGACUCUGGGAUAACUGCUGGAAAUGGUAGCUAAUACCGGAUACGACCCUCGGAGGCAUCUCCAGGGGGUGGAAAGAAUUUCGGUCAAGGAUGGACUCGCGGCCUAUCAGCUAGUUGGUGAGGUAAUGGCUCACCAAGGCGACGACGGGUAGCCGGCCUGAGAGGGUGACCGGCCACACUGGGACUGAGACACGGCCCAGACUCCUACGGGAGGCAGCAGUGGGGAAUAUUGCACAAUGGGCGCAAGCCUGAUGCAGCAACGCCGCGUGAGGGAUGACGGACUUCGGGUUGUAAACCUCUUUUAGUAGGGAAGAAGCGAAAGUGACGGUACCUAAAGAAGAAGCACCGGCUAACUACGUGCCAGCCGCCGCCGUAA